rnacentral:rRNA from 1 species
UGGGGAAUAUUGCACAAUGGGCGCAAGCCUGAUGCAGCCAUGCCGCGUGUGUGAAGAAGGCCUUCGGGUUGUAAAGCACUUUCAGCGGGGAGGAAGGCGAUAAGGUUAAUAACCUCAUCGAUUGACGUUACCCGCAGAAGAAGCACCGGCUAACUCCGUGCCAGCAGCCGCGGUAAUACGGAGGGUGCAAGCGUUAAUCGGAAUUACUGGGCGUAAAGCGCACGCAGGCGGUUUGUUAAGUCAGAUGUGAAAUCCCCGGGCUCAACCUGGGAACUGCAUCUGAUACUGGCAAGCUUGAGUCUCGUAGAGGGGGGUAGAAUUCCAGGUGUAGCGGUGAAAUGCGUAGAGAUCUGGAGGAAUACCGGUGGCGAAGGCGGCCCCCUGGACAAAGACUGACGCACAGGUGCGAAAGCGUGGGGAGCGAACAGG